CUGCUAAUACUCUAUACUCCUGCUUAACACAAGUUGAGUAGGGAAAGUUUUUCGGUGUAGGAUGAGACUAUAUAGUAUCAGCUAGUUGGUAAGGUAAUGGCUUACCAAGGCUAUGACGCUUAACUGGUCUGAGAGGAUGAUCAGUCACACUGGAACUGAGACACGGUCCAGACUCCUACGGGAGGCAGCAGUAGGGAAUAUUGCGCAAUGGGGGAAACCCUGACGCAGCAACGCCGCGUGGAGGAUGACACUUUUCGGAGCGUAAACUCCUUUUCUUAGGGAAGAAUUCUGACGGUACCUAAGGAAUAAGCACCGGCUAACUCCGUGCCAGCAGCCGCGGUAAUACGGAGGGUGCAAGCGUUACUCGGAAUCACUGGGCGUAAAGGGCGCGUAGGCGGAUUAUCAAGUCUCUUGUGAAAUCUAAUGGCUUAACCAUUAAACUGCUUGGGAAACUGAUAGUCUAGAGUGAGGGAGAGGCAGAUGGAAUUGGUGGUGUAGGGGUAAAAUCCGUAGAUAUCACCAAGAAUACCCAUUGCGAAGGCGAUCUGCUGGAACUCAACUGACGCUAAGGCGCGAAAGCGUGGGGAGCAAACAGGAUUAGAUACCCUGGUAGUCCACGCCCUAAACGAUGUACACUAGUUGUUGGGGUGCUAGUCAUCUCAGUAAUGCAGCUAACGCAUUAAGUGUACCGCCUGGGGAGUACGGUCGCAAGAUUAAAACUCAAAGGAAUAGACGGGGACCCGCACAAGCGGUGGAGCAUGUGGUUUAAUUCGAAGAUACGCGAAGAACCUUACCUGGGCUUGAUAUCCUAAGAACCUUUUAGAGAUAAGAGGGUGCUAGCUUGCUAGAACUUAGAGACAGGUGCUGCACGGCUGUCGUCAGCUCGUGUCGUGAGAUGUUGGGUUAAGUCCCGCAACGAGCGCAACCCACGUAUUUAGUUGCUAACGGUUCGGCCGAGCACUCUAAAUAGACUGCCUUCGUAAGGAGGAGGAAGGUGUGGACGACGUCAAGUCAUCAUGGCCCUUAUGCCCAGGGCGACACACGUGCUACAAUGGCAUAUACAAUGAGACGCAAUACCGCGAGGUGGAGCAAAUCUAUAAAAUAUGUCCCAGUUCGGAUUGUUCUCUGCAACUCGAGAGCAUGAAGCCGGAAUCGCUAGUAAUCGUAGAUCAGCCAUGCUACGGUGAAUACGUUCCCGGGUCUUGUACUCACCGCCCGUCACACCAUGGGAGUUGAUUUCACUCGAAGCCGGAAUACUAAACUAGUUACCGUCCACAGUGGAAUCAGCGACUGGGGUGAAGUCGUAACAAGGUAACCGUAGGAGAACCUGCGGUUGGAUCACCUCCUUUCUA
rnacentral:rRNA from 1 species